GCCCCGGUAGUUCAACGGAUAGAAUAGAAGUUUCCUAAACUUUAGAUAGCAGUUCGAUUCUGCUCCGGGGUACCA
rnacentral:tRNA from 2 species